rnacentral:rRNA from 1 species
AUACGGAGGGUCCAAGCGUUAUCCGGAUUCAUUGGGUUUAAAGGGUCCGCAGGCGGGAAAAUAAGUCAGUGGUGAAAGCCUACAGCUCAACUGUAGAACUGCCAUUGAUACUGUUUUUCUUGAGUAUAGAUGAAGUGGGCGGAAUAUAUCAUGUAGCGGUGAAAUGCCUAGAUAUGAUAUAGAACACCGAUUGCGAAGGCAGCUCACUAAACUAUUACUGACGCUCAGGGACGAAAGCGUGGGGAGCGAACAGGAUUAGAUACCCUAGUAGUCC